ensembl:lncRNA
GUUUGUAUUGAAAGGAGCAAAUAUUAGGGCAGUAGUUGAAUAUUAUGCUUUAUCAACAGAAUUAAAACCUAAAAGCACAGACCAUUCUGUUAAAUGUCCAUGAUUUAAGGUUCUUGAAGUCUAUUGUUUCAUCACUUUGCAACAUUUGGCAAACUGCAGAGUGGUGGCCUUAAAUAGUAAAACUAUGUACUAUAAUUUCCAGUAUUUGUUCUGUAUUUUGUCAUAUCUCGUUGUUAAUGUGAGGUUUUUGGGGGGGUUGUGUUUGUUUGUUUUUUUGUUUUGUUUUUUCCCCCCCCACAAUUUCUCAGAUGAAAUUGCAUUAAGUGAUGCUGAAACAAAGGACAGUGAGAGUGAAUCAGAUGAUGAUGACACAGCACUCACAAUGUCGGCGUGUGGCACCAGUGAGCCUGUACAUGCAGUAGCUGAUUCCACAAACACAGCGCAGCUCCAAGACACUGUAGAUUGUGCAGAUGAAGGACCACUCACAAUGCCUGCAGCAAGUGAGACUGCUGCUCCCUCUGAAGGUAAGGGGUGCAGUUGGUUCUCUAAGCUUAUUAUUGUUUCAUCACUUUGCAACAUAUGGCAAACUGCAGAGUGGUGGCAAAAAGUCACUUGGAUGAGUGACAAAAUGUUUCUCCAACUGAAAACGCUACGUCCAGAUUAACAGAAUCAACGUUUUGGGAUUUACUUACCUGGAUGAUUGAGCAUGCAUCAAGAGACUUUUAUUCAACUUUUUAUUCAGUCUUUUAUUCACAGCGGAACACUAAAUGUUGUCUCAUUUUAGAAAUUUGAUAAAUUUUCAAAGAGAAUUUUAGCUCGUUUUGAUAUUGAUGGUAGCAACACAUUUCAGAAGUUAGUACAGGGUAGCAUCCAUUCUUUUAACAAGCAAAUGUUUUUUGUUUGGUUUUUUGUUUGUUUUAACUACUACUACUUUAUAUAUCUUCCAGAGAAAAAUGCUGCUCAAUCCCACAAUUCCCGAAGAGCUCCCAAAAACAUGUGGUCCAAGGCUGAGGUUGCUGCAGUGAUGAGGCAUUUUAAAGACCACAUAAACGAAGGGAAACUAGCCACCAAAAAUGAAUGCAGUCAUUGCAAAUUGGUAGAAGAUCCGGUGUUGGCAGGAAGAACAGUUCAAAACAUAAGAGAUUUUGUAAGAAACAGAGGAUUAACUGCAAAAAGGCAGAAAAAAAUGAAUUAAAAUAACUGUUUAGCCAGAUGUGGUUUUACAUCUUGGUCAGAUUGCCAAUUGUUGUUAACACUGAUGUUCUGUUUAAAGAAAAAAAAAGUUCUUGUUAAAUACAGAAGCAGUUUGUAUUUCAUAAUUUUUACAUUUAAUUUAUUUAGGGUUUUUUUUGACGGGUUAUAUUUAAAAUAAAAAAUUAUAAAUGCAUAUUUUCUCC